GACGAACGCUGGCGGCGUGCUUAACACAUGCAAGUCGAACGGAAAGGCCCUGCUUUUGUGGGGUGCUCGAGUGGCGAACGGGUGAGUAACACGUGAGUAACCUGCCCUUGACUUUGGGAUAACUUCAGGAAACUGGGGCUAAUACCGGAUAGGAGCUCCUGCUGCAUGGUGGGGGUUGGAAAGUUUCGGCGGUUGGGGAUGGACUCGCGGCUUAUCAGCUUGUUGGUGGGGUAGUGGCUUACCAAGGCUUUGACGGGUAGCCGGCCUGAGAGGGUGACCGGCCACAUUGGGACUGCGAUACGGCCCAGACUCCUACGGGAGGCAGCGGUGGGGAGUAUUGCACAAUGGGCGGAAGCCUGAUACAGCAACGCCGCGUGCGUGAUAACGGCCUUCGGGUUGUAAACCGCUUUCGCCUGUGACGAAGCGUGAGUGACGGUAAUGGAUAAAGAAGCACCGGCUAACUACGUG
rnacentral:rRNA from 1 species